AGGCGCAGGGCGCGGCGCUGCUCCCUGGUAAACAGAGCGGCGCGGCGGCGGCGGGGCCUGGGUCUCACAAAGGGGCGGUGGGCCGGGCCGAUGCGCCGUGCCGGAGCGACUCAGACCCGGUGGCGGCGGCGCUGAGGCGGGCGCCCAUGGCGGAGGCGGGCGGCGCCGCGGUGGCGCCGGACAUCGACCCUGACUUCGAGCCACAGAGCCGGCCGCGCUCCUGUACCUGGCCCCUGCCGCGGCCCGAGCUACCGGCGGCGCCGGCGGAGGCGGGCGGCGCGGCGGGCGCGGCGGAGGAGGGCGCGGGCGGCGCGGCGGCAGGGCCCGGGCGGGCCGAGGGGGCGCGGGCGGGCGGCGCGGCGGCGCGGAAGGGCGGCUCCCGGCGCAAUGCCUGGGGCAACCAGUCCUAUGCGGAGCUUAUCAGCCAGGCCAUCGAGAGCGCCCCCGAGAAGCGGCUCACGCUGGCGCAGAUCUACGAGUGGAUGGUCCGCUCCGUCCCCUACUUCAAGGACAAGGGCGACAGCAACAGUUCUGCUGGCUGGAAGAACUCUAUUAGACAUAACCUGUCCCUGCACAGCAAGUUUAUUAAAGUCCAUAAUGAAGCUACAGGGAAGAGCUCUUGGUGGAUGCUCAAUCCUGAGGGUGGUAAAAGUGGAAAAGCACCAAGAAGAAGAGCUGCCUCCAUGGACAACAGCAGCAAACUUGCAAAAGUCAGAAGUAAAGCAUCCAAAAAGAAGCCUCCUCUCCAGUCUGCUCCAGAAUCUACUGCUGACAGUCCUGGCUCCCAAUUCCCUAAGUGGCCUGGGAGCCCAUCCUCAAGAAGCAAUGAGGACUCUGACAUGUGGAACACCUUCCGGCCUCGAACCAGUUCAAAUGCAAGCACCAUUAGUGCCAGGCUUUCUCCUAUCUUGACAGAGCAGGAUGACCUUCACGAUGAAGAGCUGCUUCCUUCUCUGGUAUACUCCAGUGCAUCCAGCAAUGUUCCACCAACUGUGACUGAGGAGCUUGAACUCAUCGAUGGGUUAAAUUUGAUGUCUCCCAGCUCAUCUGUGUUACCUACCCAGCAGUCUGCCUCGAGUGGUCAGAUCCAGAGAGAUUCCAGCUUUUCCUUGAGGAGCCCAAGUGCAGCUGGUCAGACCACUACUUUUGGCAAUUCCCUGUUUAACCCUGUUGAUAUCUCGCUGCAAAGUUCGGUCAGCCAUUUCUCUGCCCCUCAGACCUUGGAAGCUCUUCUGACACCCAGCUCUCCGCCUCCGAGGGAUGUUAUGAUGACUCAGGUCGAUCCAGUUCUCCCUCAGUCUGGUAACAGGAUGAGCAGCCGAACUCUUCUGCUUCUAGGUGGACAAGCUGCCCAGAGUAAGAUGAGCUCAGGCAAUCCACGAGGAAAGCCUACAGAGCGGCAGGCAGAACCAGUCAGUGCCAGUGUUUUGCCAUCAACGCUUCCCAUAGUAACAUCUCCUCAAAACACUGCCAGCAUCACCAGUUUGAAGGCUCCCGUUUCUGCAACAACUACCCAGUCAGUCCAGCUGGGCAGUCCACUGCUUCUUUCUUCUGCGAGCCCUGCUCCCUUGGGAUUGAACCAGGACAGGCUGCCCACUGACCUGGACAUUGACAUGUACAUGGAGAACCUCGAAUGUGAUAUGGAUUACAUAAUCAACAGUGAACUCAUGGAUGGAGAAGGACUGGACUUUAAUUUUGAACCCAUUUUGUCUACUCCCAGCUAUCCCAGCACCUCACAGGCCUCCAACCAUACCUGGGUACCAAGUUAACUUCAGGAGCACAAAAAGUUGAAGUGAUACUUUCUGGGAAAUACGCUGGACACGUGCUCACCAAGAAAGGAGCGAGAUCUGGAGCAAGCUCUGAACGGGUAUCCUGUUUCAGCAGAAAGUGUAGCUCCUACAUGCCUUCCCAGUGAACAAUUCUUACCAGCAGUACUGCAUUUGGAGAAGUAACGCCCCAUUCAGCGUGCUUUGUGUCGAGCCUUUUAUGUCCUUCAGGUUUUGAACAUCGGGUUCUGACUUCACUUCCCACCCCUGGCAGAGAAAAGAAUGAAGCAUGUUGGAUUCGGUUUCCCUGCACACCACACCUUGGGCAGAAGGGGUUGCGCGCCUGGGAAGAAGGGACAACCUGCAUCUGGCUGCAACAGGAAGAGUUUAAAAAUAAUAAUCCUGUUACGUGCCAUGGCUCUUCCUACAAACCUGACCCCACCUUGGGCCAUCUGGAGAAACCCUGGUCUGUACCUGUCCAAAGAGGAGCCCUGGUAAAAACCUCGGCCAGAAGACUCUGUGCCAGGCAAUAGCGUUUUCCCAUGUGAGGAGCUGGGUUUGCUGGAGGAAUCUCUCAACAGCUAUCCUCUCUCUGCUAUGGCAGAAAGUCUCCCGUGCCUCGGACUGGCUCUGCGCUCACUUGGCUUGCCCUCGAGGGCAAAGUAGUUGGCCAUUUUGAUUAAACCACCAGAUGUGCAUUUGGUAUCCCACGGACUCGCAGAGGAAUUGGAAGGAGCUUGUUGGUGGAAGCCCUGUGGGAAAAGGGUGUGCUGUUUCAGGGGGUUGGUUUCAGUGUGCCUAUCUUGGGAGCACCCGUUGUUGUUCUGCAGGGAGGGGUGGUGACUGCAGUGUAGAAGGCUUCCUCUUGUCCACCUGAGUGGAACAGGAGGACAUGGAGUUUUUCGCUGUGCCAACUGAGCCCCAUUGAAUCAGAAGCAUGUUUCAAGAAGUCUCUAUGCUGUUCUCAGCACUUUCCUGAUACACCAGGCUGCUGUAAAAUAAGCACAGAUGCUAAUAGCUGUUUCUGGGACAUAAAAACAUCAUUUUGGGUUUGUUUCUGAUCUGUCUUGCUACAGCAGAGAAAUGGAAAGCCUGGGUGUGGCCUUAACAGAGCCCUGGUUGCUUUUCAGAAGGGCAUUUUCUAUAGAUGAAAUAUUUUUUUACUAAUCUGGGAACUUUCUACAGUGAAUAUGAAGCCAAUGUUAAGUGUGUCCCCAUCAGGUGUUUUAGGCAUCUCUCCCUCUGAGAAGGUACCAGUGACAGACUUCUUUUUUCAGAGCUGUAUUAAGAACAAACGCAUUUGAUAUUUGAUGUGUGUGACUGAGGGGGAAGAAUUGGCAGGUCCCUGUGGUUUCAAACCACCUUGGGGAAGAGUUGUACACUAUUGUAAUCUAUAUGUAAAAGUAGCUGCAAAUUACAUAGAAGCUUUUCUAAACCUUUUUAAAUAUAUAUAUUAUAUAUUUUAAUUGAAAAUGAGAUUAUUGGAUUAAAAAACCCGCAUUUGCUGCAUCUGUCCCCUUGAUACCAGAUAACACUACAGUAUGGGAGGGGACAGGCCUAAGGCAUUUUGGGUCAAGAAGCUGAAAAUGUCAUUGGAAAAGUGGGAAGGGCACCACAAUGUAACUGGGGAAUGGCUGCUCUCCCCAGAACAGGCAGAAGGUGCCUGCAUGGCAUGGCAUUCAGCCACAGCUAUGCAGAAAGCUUCUCUUUCCUCAGCUGGGCACUCCCACCAAGCCUAGAGCACGAUGUUAAAGAAUGCUAAUCAUUAACAACGUGCUCAUUCUCAGCUAAUCCCUUAAGUAGCUGGACUGCAGCUGAUACAUAGGACAGAUUCCCACAUCUGCUGAGAAGAUGGUGUGGACUACAUCAUGCUAGAUAUGCUGACACUCUGGUAACCCUUAUGGACAACAGUCUGUUGUAUUUGAUAGCUUGCUUUUUGGUUUCCAAAGGUUUUUGUUUUCCUCCUGAAGCUUCUGCUACUUCUGUGGAACUUGAAACCUGUAGGCACACCCUUGGGGGAUAUGCCUGGGGUCCUGCCCUGUCUUUUUGUUCUUGCAGGCCAGAAGCUAGGAGUCAAGAGGUUAGUUCAGAGCAUUAGCUGGCAUGUUCCUGUUACGUUUUUGGUGUUUACAGUGGCAGGGUCUGUGGGAGACAUGGUGCUUUCAUAGUGUUCUGGUAGGCUUGGUCUGGCAGAAAGCCUCUCCAAUGCUUUCUGAAGGUGGCAUGGCUUCUGUUCAGAAGGUUUUUGUCAUGCAGUGGAAUGAGCCAUACUGUUAUACCACCUUGUCUGCUCUGUUUUCAUGGGUGGGUUGACCAUGGCCGGACCCCAGGUGCCCACCAAGCCACUCUGUAACUCCCCUCCUCAGCAGAAGAGGGAGGAGAAUGUAAGGUGGAAAAAAUAAACUUGUGGGUCAAGGUAAAGACAGUUUAAUGAAGCAAGAGCAAAAGGUGUGUGUGCAGAAGUGAAGGAGAACAAAAGGUGUUAUUCUUUACUUCCCAUCAGCAGGCCAUGUUUGGCCACUUCCCGGGGAGCAGGGCUUCAGUAUGUGUAGCGGUUGCUCCAGGAGACAAAUAUCGUGAAUAACAAAUGCCACCACAUACACACCCCUCCUCCUUUCUCUUAGCUUUUACAUCUGAGCCGACAUUCUAUGGUAUGAAAUUUCCCUUUGGUCAGUUUGGGUCAGCUGUCCUGGCUAUGUCUCCUCCCAAGAUCUUGCCCACCCCCAGCCGUGAUGCUGUGGGAGCGCUGCUCAGCAGCAGCCAAAGCACUGCUGUGUUACCAGCACCUCUCCAGCCACCAAUACAAAGCACAGCACUGAAGGCUGCUAUGGGACUCAGCCAGACCCAGUACAACCACCUCGUCUGCUCUGUUUUAAUGGGUUUAAUUUCAUUUUCAUUUGAGUGGAGAUUGGAACAGGAGUGGUUUGUCUGGUUACCUGCCACAAGGAAUCAUCGGCAGUUUUAUCUUUUCAAAGGCUUUGGUGGCAGACCAUGCUAUAGUUAGAUAACCUUUGCUUUGAAGAUUGCCUUCAUGGCAGAGACCUCAUGGUGACAAGUUUCAAAUUUACCCAUAAUCUGCAUGUCUGGCCAUACUUCAUUGUAACAAACAAAUAAAAAGGCAGAUCCAAAGCUGGGAUCCCAGAUCUUGCAGGCUUGAAUUGUGGAUGCACAUUCUCACUGCAGUUAGCUCAUUACACAAAUGGAUAGAUAACCUUUCCACAAACACCUGAUGGCAUGUGUUGCACAUAAGAAUCAGCUGUUCAGGGCUUCAGCUAAUGGAUCUGGAGGGAUUUGUGUUAUUUGGCAGAUAAUAGGCCAUCUUGUCGGCUUGGGCUCUGAGGGGAAAUGAAUCCUGUGAUUUUCAGAGCAAGUUGACUGGCUACCUGUACUUCAUAGCCAUGGAUCAAAGGACAAGACAUCAGUACGUGUGGUCAUGCUCUGUGUGAAUCUCUAGCUCAUUUCGCAUGAAAACAGACCCCAAAUCCAUAGGAAGGACAACAUGAGUAACCAGCGCUUCAGACCUGCAGAUCCACGAUGAGCUGUUUCUGGCUGGAUUGGUCUGUGGGGAAGAAGUGCUGUCUUCAUACUGUUGCAAGGUGUCCUCUAGGUGUGACAGCACUAGGGACCUGAUCUGAUCUCUGACUGCAGAGAGGCUGGCCCCGAACACUUGAGUAGUGCCCUGGGAGGUCUGACAUGCUCUCGGCUAGUACAUGCCCUCAACCUCUUCCAGCUGAAGGAGCUGCAGCCCAAGUACACCAAGGCUCAUCGUGGCUGGUGCCCUACAACGUGAGUUCAUAAGACACUCUGUCCUUUCAUCAAGGAAUAGACAACCUAUCUUUUUUUUUUUUUUUUUUUUAUACUCCCAGGCCAGACUCCUGGGGAGUCAGCUGUCCUGGGGGCAGCACUGGAGACGGGAGCAUCUCUGGCUGGAGUCCUGCUGUACGAGCGCACUGACAGUGAUGUCUCUGUCUUGCGGUGGUCCACGCAGGUGCUUACUGUCUCCUCAGCACAACAGGAGCAGACAGUGGCUGGAGAAGCCUGAGAGCACGCUAGUGAUGAGGAUGGUGUUCAGAGGACUAACAGUGCUCAGGAGUGCUCGGUAAACCAUGAAUGUAAUGUUGCAGGCUCAGGCAGGCACUUGCCUUCUUGUUUGUAUGUGUAGCAGGAUAGCUUGGAUCAUGGGCAUGGAGGGCUGGGGUGCAGAGAAUUCAGGAGUUCUCCAGUCCCUUCACAGAUAACUUCUUUUUGUAAACCUUGAGCUUUUCUAGCCUGGGAUAUUUCCUUAUAGGACACAGGAGACUUUUGAAGUUCCUAAACUGCUGCUUGCUGAAAGGCUGUACCUGGCAGAGGGUCGCCCAAUAUUUGUCCAGUGUUUUAUAUUCUUGCCCAAAGCAUUUGCUACUGAUUGCUGCUGGAUUCAGGGUAGUGUCUUGUUGAAUCUUUGUUCUGCUUUAGCACUGCGGGCCCCAUACUUGUGGGCUAGUUUUUGCUCUAAUGAAGGAUUGGGCUGGGAUUUUGAGAGUAGCUGUGAGCUGGGUGGGGAGGGAGGGGGCCGGUGACAUGGGGAGUGAUGCUUCUGGAUAAGUGUCUAUUGGGAGUGGGCAGGGCACUCUUGGCGUGAAGCCGUAUGUUGCGUUGUGUUUUCCUUGUCCUUGCUGAGCUCGGGUAACAACUUUCUUCGUCUCCAGAGGAUUAAAUGCCAUCUUUCACAGCAUGAAGCCACCAUGCAGCACGGGGCGCAAAGGAUUCAGGUUAACUAGGUCCAUGGAGCGUAGUAGGAGGCAGACUUGUUGAUUUUGUUUACACCUGGGUUUAGCAGAUUGCUUGAGCCUUUUUUAUAACUUAAGCAUACUUUACUACCAGCUUCCUAUGAGAGCUUGGAGUACUGAAAGCUUCUUAGAGCCUUUAAUUUUCCUCGGUGUGUCUAAAAAACAUGUCAUCCCCUACCCUGUGCUGCUUUAAAAACAACAGUCAAAUCAUCCUGGUAAGUGAGAGAAAUGAAAGCAGUGGGAGAGUUCCAGAGCCUGGGUGUAUUCAUAAAUGAGGCUCAUACUAGAAGCAAGUAGUACUAAUCAGCUUUUCCAAAGGAAAUGCCUAGAAAGCUUUUAUGUAGAUCAUAAUUUUUAAAUUUUCUUACUUAGUUGCUUAUUUAUAGCCACACUCAAAUGCUUCAGGGCUAGCCUUGCUCCAGGAAUGAGAAACCUGUGUCUGGUGCCAGGGGUCGGAGUGCCUUGAGCGUGGUGUCCUGGACUGUCACCAAAAUAAUGUGCAAGUUUGUACCCAUUGUAAAAAAAAAAAAAAGGGGGGGGGGGGGGGCAGGGCAAAAACAAAAGAACCCCAAAACCCUACACAACAAAUCAAUCAACUCUGGGACAUAAGCAUGAACAGAGAUAGCUUAGGGUUUGCCUCACCUGCAUGUCUAAUGAAAAACGUGUUGUAAUUAGUGUGGGAAAAGCAAGCAAGAGAUGAGUCUUGAAACCUGAAAGAUCUGCCCAUGUGAAAGCUCGGUAGCCUGUGGUAACCCAUCACCACAGUUGCUUGCCCUGCAAGAAAGGGAUCCCCACUCUUCAGUAGCCUUAAUUUCUCUCCUCACGCUCUGGAUGUGUCUGUAGUCAAUGGAAAACAAUCUGAUGGAAUCAAAAUUGCAUCUAAUGUUGUGGGGUAAAGCAGGGAGAUGAGGCAGCAGAAGCUGAAGGUGAAAGGGCUGAUAGUGUUGCAUUUAUGGUUCUGUGGCUAAGGCAGCAUUACGGUGUGUGGUAGAAGGGGAUGUUCGCAGCUGGUGCCGUGGUGCUCUGUGUGGUGCUACCCUGUGGUGCUCCCCAAGGUGCCUUGAGAGGUUUGGCUACAUAGAAGACAGGUCACUUCUCCUGAAAGGAGCCUUUUUCAUGAGGCAAUGGGGAUGGUUCUGUGAAAUGAUGCUUCCAGCACAGUGGAGUGUUCACCUGGUGUGAUCCCAGGAAGGGUUUCUGCAUUGCUAGCACAGAUGUCUGCUGCACACAGGGCAGGCACCACUAGCUGACAUAGUUUCCACCCCAUCCCCUCUGCACUCUUUCACCCAUUUCUCACAAUACAUUUUUUACAUAAUAAAUCUCUGCUUUUGUUUGCUCUCUGUAGCAGUGUAACUUCUGAAUCAUUACAGGCUCUUUGUUACCAUCUGUGCUAGCAAGACUGUAGAAUGUGCUAGACUAGGGGAGAAUGUUUGACAAAUAAAAACCUGUAAUCCUCU